UCCCUCGUGGCGCAACCGGAUAGCGCGUCGGACUGUUAAUUCUUAUGGAAUCUCACGAGCUCCCAGGAAUAGCAGUGAUCCGGAGGUUGUAAGUUCAAGCCUUACCGAGGGAG